AACCAUUCUCACCUGCGGCUAGACCUGCGGAAGGAUCAUUAUCGUUGGGCUCCUGCCCAUUCGAGAUAACACCCUUGCCUUUUUGAGUACCUUUUCGUUUCCUCGGCAGGCACGCCUGCCAACGGGGACCCUUCAAAACGCUUUGUAAUACCUGUCAUUGUCUGAUAUAACAUGCAAAAAUCAAAACUUUUAGCAACGGAUCU
rnacentral:misc_RNA from 1 species